ensembl:lncRNA
CCCAAUUAAAUUGAACACUCUGUCCACUCCUAAGAAUUUGUAAGACUCUUAUUUGCAUAAAAUGGACAGAGACCAGUCUCAAAAUCAAUCUGUAGCGUUUAUUCUCGAGAGUACUGAACACGAUACAGUUUACCACAGGUUAUAAACUGAAAAUGACGUCAUUAGUUUUCGAACUGUCCCGUCUCUUCUCCCACCCUGGUACAAAGGCAGUAUCUCAAGCCUUCCCACAUCGUCCCACACCAAUUUAAUAUAAUUUAUGACAGAGCCAAGGUCUUCCUGUGUAGAUAAGCAUUCUAGCCAGUCUGACGAUAAGUUCAUUCAUUUCUACCUAGGAACAGACAGUCAUUGUUCUAAUUCUUAAUGAUAUAUACACACAUUAUAUUCAGUACUAGGAUUAAAAGAAAAUUCAUACAUCUAUACAGUAACAUAAUAGUAUUCUGAUUAUUCAGUCCUGAUUGAAAUGUAUACAUAAUUAGUCAUUAUUGAUAAAAAAUCCCUUAACAUAUCCACACUAUGAUUAAAUAUUAUACAUCCAAGCACACAUCUAGUUAUAUUAAAAUAUUAAAAAGCAUACAUCUAUUUUUAUCAGAAAUAUUUAUUGUUAUCAAAAUACCACCUAACAUAAACCAAUUCUUGCAUUCACAUUGACUGUUUUAGGCCAACAUCAGAAUCAUAACCCUUCUCAUCAGAAUUUUCGUUACAAUCUUCAUCGAAACAAGAUACAACCUAACAUCUCUAAAUAUCAAAAUGCUCUUAUCAAAAACAUAAGUUCCUCGCAUAUGAAAAAUUUGGAUUCAUUAAUCUAUUUAGGUUUGAGGCAUGUAUUCAUCCUUCCACUGGUCAAAUCUUGGAAUCAGUCCGUAUCGCACCAUCUAUUUUCUCAUUGAUUUCUCCAGAGUCCUGGAAAUGAGACCUCAUACACAGGGAAUUAGACAAUAGCCACAAAACUAAAACAGUCACACAGGUGAAGGUAGCCCUUAACACAGUGAUCAUAACAUUUUUCCAUUUUCCAAACAUACUAUCAAACCAAUUAGUCAAAGAAGUAUCCACCCCAGAGUUUUCUGCCAACUCGUGAGCCAGGGUGGUCAAACCAGCUGAGGCUUUGGUCACUGAUUCAUCUGGAGCUGUGCCAUCGAGGAACAAACCAUCUCCACCCACUCUCACCCUUUCCAGCCAACAAAUAUAUCCAAGAUUAAUUCUAUUCCGCCAAGUCAUUCAUUACAUCUCUGGUAUAAUUGACGAAGCGCUGUGGAUUAUCCUAAAUAUAAUUGAUCCAGUUCACAUUCUUAUUUGAGUGUGGACCACUAGAAAAUACUUAACUCUAAUCCUGCUACGAUCUGAUUUCUUGCUUUGAACUCAUCUGGUAAUCCCCGUAGAACCCCAAUGUUAUCAAUAUAUACUCUCUCGUCAAAAGACCCAGAUGGAGUACUUAUUUUCUCCCGUUUGGCCAACUUCAUGUCUUGGUGUUGAACGAGUGUGAAAAGCAUUCCCAAAUGUACAAGGUCGCAUAAUCCUGUCCAAUCUGCCGGUAAAAACUGGCCAUAACAGCAUUCCCCCACACAACCACCAGAUGUCAGCCCUGGCCCACUUUACCUUAUUGAAAUCCCCAGAGUUCAACCAGCCUGUCAAAUCAGACAUGGUCUCGACAGUGUUAAUAUUCUCUGUCCUAUUGCAGGUACUAACUUCCCCUACAUAUUUCCCAUGAGUACUGUACCGGGCCAAACAGUAAUAAUCUCCUCCGGUCACUGUAAAGGGAGGAAGUCUUGAUUUAAAGGGAAUCUGUGGAUAUAAAUAGUGCAAAUCAAUACAACUGUCAUUAUCUGGCAUUCUUGCUUUCGUGAACAGCUUUACCAUACAGGCCAUUCCCCUGGGUGAAUCAAUUCCAUCAAAUGGAGAGGGGAUGGUUGUCAGCUGAGGUUUGGCUGUGGCGCAGGCAUAACAUUUUUCUUUAGCUACUGGUCUGGCUGUAUAGUGGAUCCAUUCUAACCAAAGAUUAGAAUCCCCAUAACCAGUUUCUACCUCGAUCACUUCCUUCAGAUCUUUCGUCUUCACUAUCUUCACCGGCCCUUGGCUCUGGACUAAUCUGCUGUCAGUGUCUGUUGUGUCAGGUGCUCUGUAUUCCUGCUGACGAUAGAGUUACCACCUGGCCUAACCUCCUAUACCCGGACCCGUACUAGGGUGUCGACCAAAAACUGGUCAAAUCCAACAUACCAUAACCCUAGAUCCUCUUUCAUUACUGUUUAAAGGGUAAGCCGUAUCUUUAUGCAAUACAUCCCUCUCUCCGGAUUACAGUCAAAAACUCUCACCUUCACUAUACUCCACCUCCUUCCAUACUGGGUGAGUGGAUUCAUAUAGCCCUCUGAGCUAUGACCUGUGUCCACGACCAACAUGGGGACCUGCACCAAUAUAUACCAUAAUGGCUCAGAGUCCUAGACUGCCAUGUAGUUAGAGACCCCUUUUGGUCUACAUAAAACUCCAUUGAGACAUCCUUACCAACCUCUACUCUAACUUCCUAUCUACCCAGAUCUAGGGAUCUCCUAUGCUUGUUUGGAACAAAAUCCUCAUCGUCUAAACCAUGGGUCAAAUUACCACUCUCCGCAUACUCAGGUGGGACGUGCUGUAUCAGGAAUAUGGCACCUACGAUAAGACAGCUCAGACCAAACAGCACUCCGAUGAAGCCCCACCCUUUUCCCGGAAAACAUAUCAUCAGCAAGAGGCGACACACUUUCACUUCUAUGAACGCUCACAGCUGGGGAAAAGUUAGGUAUAAGGGAAUCUUCAGUAAGUUUUGUAAAUAAACAAGAUUUUUUUCUUAAAAAGAAAGACAAAAGACUGUAGAUUCUCUCACUGAGUUUGAUCUUCCCACAUGUGUCACCAGUCACCGUACCCUAAAGGUUGCGGUUCCCUUCCUACCUCUGUGAUUGUUCGACAGUGUCAGGGUGUCCUACCCUCCUACAAUGUGUGAUAUGCACCCCGGGAGCUCUUUCGGCUAUCCUCACCGUGAAGGCAGUCACCAGGAGUACUUGGUAUGGCCCCUCCCCACCGUGCUGCUUCCCGUCUAUCCUCACCGCGAAGGCAGUCACCAGGAGUACUUGGUAUGGCCCCGCCCACCGUGCUGCUUCCCGUCUAUCCUCACCGCGAAGUCAGUCACCAGGAGUACUUGGUAUGGCCCCGCCCACCGUGCUGCUUCCCGUCUAUGCUCCUCACGUAGGCAGUCACCAGGAGUACUUGGUAUGGCCCCGCCCACCGUGCUGCUUCCCUUCUACCCUCCUCGCGUAGGCAGUCACCAGGAGUACUUGGUAUGGCCCCGCCCACCGUGCUGCUUCCCGUCUAAUCUCCUGCGUAGACAGUCACCAGGAGUACUUGGUAUGGCCCCUCCCCACCGUGCUGCUUCCCGCCUAUCCUCCUCACGUAGGCAGUCACCAGGAGUACUUGGUAUGGCCCCGCCCACCGUGCUGCUUCCCGUCUAUCCUCACCGCGUAGACAGUCACCAGGAGUACUUGGUAUGGCCCCGCCCACCGUGCUGCUUCCCAUCUAUCCUCACCGCGUAGACAGUCACCAGGAGUACUUGGUAUGGCCCCGCCCACCGUGCUGCUUCCCGUCUAUCCUCACCGCGUAGACAGUCACCAGGAGUACUUCGUAUGGCCCCGCCCACCGUGCUGCUUCCCGUCUAUCCUCCUCGCGUAGGCAGUCACCGGGAGUACUUGGUAUGGCCCCACCCACCGUGCUGCUUCCCGUCUAUCCUCCUCGCGAAGGCAGUCACCAGGAGUACUUGGUAUGGCCCCACCCACCGUGCUGCUUCCCUUCUAUUCUCCUCGCGAAGGCAGUCACCAGGAGUACUUGGUAUGGCCCCUCCCCACCGUGCUGCUUCCCUUCUAUUCUCCUCGCGAAGGCAGUCACCAGGAGUACUUGGUAUGGCCCCUCCCCACCGUGCUGCUUCCCGUCUAUCCUCCUCGCGUAGGCAGUCACCAGGAGUACUUGGUAUGGCCCCUCCCCACCGUGCUGCUUCCCGUCUAUCCUCCUCACGUAGGCAGUCACCAGGAGUACUUGGUAUGGCCCCGCCCACUGUGCUGCUUCCCUUCUAUUCUCCUCGGGGACUGGGUUGAGUGAAUCACCUUAUCCUGUAGUUCACCUGUAGUGCAUAAAUCUCGGACAUACAGGUUUGGUUAACAAACAGUUUCUCAUUUGUUCUAUCUGAUUAUAUCUUUAACUUCUAUGCCUACUUAUUAGCUACAUUUUUUUAUUAUUAUCCAAUAGGCCACUAAGUGUCCUAUCCUAGACCACAACUUACCCAUCCCCCUUUUGAUAUCUGGCUCUGCCCAGGUAACAACCUUAUCUACUCUAAAUAAUGACUUAGGUAAGAUUAGUAAAUUAUCCUUAUGUUCUGACAUUAUCAUGUAUGUCCAAUUCUCCCUUUGGCGCCCAUUCAUAUUUAUCCUGUACCAAUUCUCUGUCAAGUGGCUUAUCUACUUUUAAAAGGUAUCUGUGUUCAUUUCCUCUCUGCUCUGUAACAACUAUAUGUUGCUUCCAAAUUUUAACUAAAUGUCUCACUGUUUGGCUUUAUCUAAACUCAUUGAUUUAAAAAGAAAAAGAAAAACAUGUCUAUGGUGUCAAUUUCUAAAGUCCUUAUACAGGUUAAUUAAGGUUCUUGAUCCUAUCCCUAAUCCUGAAUCACCACAGAUGUCAUAUAUCCCUGUCAAACUUUAAUACUAUUUAAAUAAAAAUAAAUAUUUUUAAAUAAAAAUAUUCUAAUAUUCUAAUAUUAAUUAAAGCCAAAACGAAUGCUAACCAUAUCCUAUCUCUUUCCUGUGUUAAUGAAAUCUCCCCUUCGGGAAUCCACUGUAUUUUAUCUAAAAAUAACGAGUUAAACUUAAAAAUCAGUCACAUCAAUAAUUUAAUAUAUGUUGCCUAGUUUGAGAUACCUUAUCUACCGUAAUUUACCAUCCCUAAGAACUGCAACUUAUUUUCAUAAAUAAUUUUAAUACUUAUAAAAUCGCCUUUUCUAUCAUGUGUUUUCCUGCCCUAUUGGCUUAAUAACGGUGUUCUGUCCAAACCUCAAAAGGACCAUCUUCCGCCAUUUAUUAUCGAUGAUUAAUAUGAUUUCUGUUCCUGUUGCAGUACUAAAAACUCCAUUAUAAUACAUUUACUUUAAAAACCAGUAUCACCCAUGACUACAAAUUCAUUAUUCAAAUGGCUCCCCCCUGUGGCUGAUCAGACCAACUGGGAGAGCCAUGGAAACUUGGUCAAAGGUUACACCACCCCUUUACAUUCGUGUUCCAUACCAUAUUAGACAUAUUAAAGAACCCUUUAUCUUUAAAAAAAAAUGUAUUCACUUGUCUAAUUAAAACUCAGAAAAUAAAACUCCUAAUAUUCCAUAUGUGAGUGUACCCCUUUAAGAUAUCUUGUCUCUGGGAACAGGGAAAUCUCCUUAACGUAAACAUUUACUACAAAAACAAAACCUUAUUGUCACGCCCUGGUCUAAGUAUUUUGUGUUUUUCUUCAUGUAUUGGGUCAGGCCAGGGUGUGGCAUGGGGUUUUUGUAUUGUGGUGUGUUUUGUCUUGGGGUUUUGGUGUGUGUGUAUUGGGAUUGUAGCUAGUGGAGUUAUCUAGCAAGGUCUAUGGCUGUCUGGAGUGGUUCUCAAUCAGAGGCAGGUGUUUAUCGUUGUCUCUGAUUGGGAACCAUAUUUAGGCAGCCAUAUUCUUUGAGUUUGUCGUGGGUGAUUGUCCUUAGUGUCCUUGUUCCAGUCUAUGUGUUAGGUUACACAAGUAUAGGCUGUUUCGGUUUUCGUUUCGUUAUUUACAUUCUUUGUUUUGUAGUGUUUGUGUUACUUCGUGUUUAUGUUAUUCAUUAAACAUGGAUCGCAAUCUACACGCUGCAUUUUGGUCCGACUCUCCUUCACACCUAGAAAACCAUUACAGAAUCACCCACCACCAACGGACCAAGCAGCGUGUCAACAGGCAGGAGCAGCAGGAGAGGCAACAGGUGCAGCAGGAGAGGAGGCAACAGGAGCAGCCCAAAGAGGAGUACAGUAUGGACUAUACUUCUUGGGAGGAGAUAGACAGGUGGGCGGUCGACCCAGGGAGAGUGCCGGAGCCCGCCUGGGAUUCGAUGGAGCAGUGCGCGGAAGGUUAUCGGAGAAUGAGGUUGGCGAAGCAAGCACGGCGGCGCGGACGGAAGCCCGAGAGUCAGACCCAAAAAUUUCUUGGGGGCUCACAGGGAGUAUGGCUAUGCCAGGUAGGAGACCUGUGCAAACUUCCUGCGGUUACCGGGGGGCUAGAGAGACCGGGCAGGCACCGUGUUAUGCAGUGGUGCGCAUGGUGUCCCCAGUGCGGGUGCAUAGCCCGGUGCGAUAUAUUCCAGCUCCUGGUAUCGGCCGGGCUAGAGUGGGCAUCGAGCCAGGUAAGGUUGGGCAGGCUCGGUGCUCAAGAGCUCCAGUGCGCCUGCACGGUCCGGUCUAUCCAGUACCACCUCCACACCCCAGCCCUCCGGUAGCAGCUCCCCGCACCAGGCUUCCUGUGCGUGUCCUCGGUUCAGUACCACCAGUACCAGCACCAUGCAUCAGGCCUACAGUGCGCCUCGCCUCUCCAGCGCUGCCGGAGCCUUUCUCCUCUCCUGCGCUGUCGGAGUCUCCUGUCUGUUCAGCGCUGCCAGAGCCUUCCUCCUCUACAGCGCUGCUGGAUUCUCCUGCCUGUUCAGCGCAGCCAGAGCUGCCAGCCUGCAUGGAGCUGCCAGGCUGCAUGGAGCAGCCAGAGCUGCCAGGCUGC